UACGGAGGGGGCAAGCGUUGUCCGGAUUUAUUGGGCGUAAAGAGCGUGUAGGCGGUUUGGUAGGUCCGCUGUGAAAACUCGAGGCUCAACCUCGAGACGCCGGUGGAAACCAUCAGACUAGAGUCCGGAAGAGGAGAGUGGAAUUCCUGGUGUAGCGGUGAAAUGCGCAGAUAUCAGGAAGAACACCCGUGGCUAAGGCGGCUCUCUAGUACGGUACUGACGCUGAGGCACGAAAGCGUGGGGAGCAAACAGG
rnacentral:rRNA from 1 species